rnacentral:rRNA from 1 species
UACGGGANGCAGCAGUGAGGAAUAUUGGUCAAUGGACGAGAGUCUGAACCAGCCAAGUAGCGUGCAGGAUGACGGCCCUAUGGGUUGUAAACUGCUUUUAUACAGGGAUAAAGUAGGGAACGUGUUCCCUUUUGCAGGUACUGUAUGAAUAAGGACCGGCUAAUUCCGUGCCAGCAGCCGCGGUAAU